rnacentral:rRNA from 1 species
CCUACGGGAGGCAGCAGUGGGGAAUAUUGGGCAAUGGGCGCAAGCCUGACCCAGCAACGCCGCGUGAAGGAAGAAGGCUUUCGGGUUGUACACUUCUUUUGUCCGGGAAGAGUAGAAGACGGUACCUGACGAAUAAGCCACGGCUAACUACGUGCCAGCAGCCGCGGUAAUACGUAGGUGGCAAGCGUUGUCCGGAUUUACUGGGUGUAAAGGGCGUGUAGCCGGGUUGACAAGUCAGAUGUGAAAUCCUGCGGCUUAACCGCAGAACUGCAUUUGAAACUGUUGAUCUUGAGUACUGGAGAGGCAGAUGGAAUUCCGAGUGUAGCGGUGAAAUGCGUAGAUAUUAGGAGGAACACCAGUGGCGAAGGCGGUCUGCUGGACAGCAACUGACGGUGAGGCGCGAAAGCGUGGGGAGCAAACAGGAUUAGAUACCCCUGGAGUC